UUUUUUUUUUUUUUGAGACGGAGUCUCGCUCUGUCACCCAGGUUGGAGUGCAGUGGCGCGAUCUCGGCUCACUGCAAGCUCCGCCUCCCGGGUUCACGCCAUUCUCCUGCCUCAGCCUCUCCGAGUAGCUGGGACUACAGGCGCCCGCCACCACGCCCGGCUAAUUUUUUGUAUUUUUAGUAGAGACGGGGUUUCACCGUGGUCUCGAUAUCCUGACCUCGUGAUCCGCCCGCCUCGGCCUCCCAAGGUGCUGGGAUUACAAGCGUGAACCACCGCGCCCGGCCAAGAAUUUACUUUCAUUCAUCUUUAUUAUCUCAUUGAAGCUUGGAAUUACAUAGCUGGAAAGGACCUUACAGGGCUCACUCUGUCACCCAGGCUGUAGUGGAGUGCAGUGGCGCAAUCUCUGCUCACUGCAACCUCUGCCGUGGCGUGAUCGUGGCUCACUGCAACCUCUGCCUCCUGGGCUCUGGUGAUCCUCCCGCCUCAGCCCCCCAGUUCUAGGAAGUUGGCGUGAAACAGUCUUCGGUUCCCUGCCUCCAGACCCUAUUCUUCUGCCUCAAGGUGACUGGCCUAGCUUCAUGAAAGGUUGUCACUCUGCCACCCAGGUUGGAGUACAGUGGCACAAUCAUAACUCACUGCAGCCUUGACCUUCCUGCUCAAGUGAUCCUCCCAUCUCAGCCUCCCAAGUAGUUGGAACUACAGGUGACUACCAUCACACCUAGCAAAUUUUUGUAUAUUUUAUAGAGACUAGGGUCUCGCCAUGUUGCCCAAGCUGGUCUCGAACUCCUGGUCUCAAGAGAUCUGCCAGCCUCAACCUCCCAGAGUGCUGAGAUUACAGGCGUGUGCCACCAUACCUGACUGGAAAGAAAUCUUGAGAGAUAUUUUUCUUCUUCAGUGUUGUCUUGACAUAUAUUGAA